AUUGAACGCUGGCGGCAGGCCUAACACAUGCAAGUCGAACGAGUGGCGGACGGGUGAGUAUAGUCUGGGAAACUGUCCGUGGGAGGGGGGUACCUACUGGAAACGGUAUCUAAUAUCCCAUACAAUCGGAUGUGCCCAGAUGGGAUUAGCUGGUAGGUGGGGUAAAGGCUCACCUAGGAGACGAUCCCUAGCUGGUCUGAGAGGAUGACCAGCCACACGGUAACUGAGACACGGUCCAGACUCCUACGGGAGGCAGCAGUGGGGAAUAUUGCACAAUGGGCGCAAGCCUGAUGCAGCCAUGCCGCGUGUAUGAAGAAGGCCUUCGGGUUGUAAAGUACUUUCAGCGAGGAGGCGUUACUCGCAGAAGAAGCACCGGCUAACUCCGUGCCAGCAGCCGCGGUAAUUC
rnacentral:rRNA from 1 species